GCUUCCGGAGCUAACGCGUAAGUCGACCGCCUGGGGAGUAUGGCCGCAAGGUUAAAACUCAAAUGAAUUGACGGGGGCCCGCACAUGCGANGGAGCAUGUGGUUUAAUUCGAUGCACGGAAGAACCUUACCUACUCUUGACAUCCAGAGAACUUAGCAGAGAUGCUUUGGUGCCUUCGGGAACUCUGAGACAGGUGCUGCAUGGCUGUCGUCAGCUCGUGUUUGUGAAAUGUUGGGUUAAGUCCCGCAACGAGCGCAACCCUUAUCCUUUGUUGCCAGCGGUCCGGCCGGGAACUCAAAGUAGACUGCCAGUGAUAAACUGGAGGAAGGUGG
rnacentral:rRNA from 1 species